GCCCCCGUAGCCCAAUCGGCAGAGGCAGGCCACUUAAAAUGGUUCCAGUGUGGGUUCGAGUCCCACCGGGGGCACCG
rnacentral:tRNA from 1 species